AUGAGGAAGCACCCAUGCAUCGAAGAUGCAUAUUAAAAUGGUGCUGACAACCUGCCGCCGAGUGAAUACGAGGGGGCAUUACAUCAU
rnacentral:sRNA from 12 species